GUGCUCACUUUGGUAGCACUUCUACUAAAAUUGGAAUAAUAUGGAGAUUAGCAUGUCCCCUAUACAGUGAUUACACACUAACUCAUGAAGUGCCCCGUAUUUUU
ensembl:snRNA U6 U6 spliceosomal RNA